UACAGAGGUCCCAAGCGUUGUUCGGAUUCACUGGGCGUAAAGGGUGCGCAGGUGGGUUUGCAAGUUCGAUGUGAAAGCCCCGGGCUUAACCCGGGAAUGGCAUUGGAUACUGCAGAUCUGGAGGAUCGGAGGGGGGACUGGAAUUCUUGGUGUAGCAGUGAAAUGCGUAGAGAUGCGGAGGAACACCGAUGGCGAAGGCAGCCCCCCUGGGCUAGCACUGACGCUCAGGCACGAAAGCGUGGGGAGCAAACAGG
rnacentral:rRNA from 1 species